CUGCUGCGGCUUUCACUGAGUUGGUUGGGUGGCAGCAGACUCGUUGACUGCCCGGCUGUACUAGGCUAGCAGGAGGCACGCUGAACCCCGCUAACCAGAGAACUGAGCAGAUAUCUGCCCAGCUGGUAGCAGUUAAUAGAAGGUUAAAGGGAAGCGAAGGUGCCCUGCAUAGGGCCCGAAGCUAGCCCACUGAGUCCUUCUAUUUUCUCAAAAUCUAAAGGUUUUGUAAUUGUAGUGAUAAUCGGUAUCAUUAGUUUUACUUUACCUUAAAACUUCCCAACAAAAUUUUAAAAAGAAAUUAACCGUUAAUUAGGUAAUGCUGUAUUUCACAAUAUACGGUUUGUGCAUUAUUACAGUGCCUAUUAUUGCCCCAGUGUUAAAAAGCACUGUACUUGGUUGUGAGAGAAUAGGGGACAAGACACACUAUGCUCAAGAAACUGAAGUGUUAGGAAGGCUUUGUGCUACUUCAAAAACAAGAAUACAAAGCUUCCAUCCUGCUGCUUAAGCUGUUUCAAGUCCUUUGGCUGUUGACCUAGAAAAUGCAAGAAAGUGAACCUAACAGACCACAGAUGCGAACCAAUUAUACGGUUUUCAGAAGACUUGUGCAUCAAGCAGUUUUUCUAACAGCCAGAUAAUAAAUAAAACAAAUGGUAGGUUCCUGAGUGUUUCUGGAAGAAGCUAGAUUAAGGAAAAAUGUUGAACAUAUGAUUGUGUUUAUAAUGUGACUUUUAGAGGAUCUCUGAACUCUUUUAAUAAUCUGCCUCUGAAGAUUAUAAAGAGACAUAGUUGGCAUAAUUGGAAUUUUGAAAUGUACCUGUAAAUCUGUUUUUUUUAGAAAAUUCUGCAGCACAUUUUUCAUUUAAAUUACCCGUAACUUGUUUCUGAUAUUAAUAGAAAUAUCAGACUGAAAAAAUGCAGAGUACAAGACAGAUGUGUUUUAAGAUUGAAAACAAAAGAAAAUUUAGACAUAUAUUUUCAGAUACUUGAUUAACUGUCAGGCCACCCGUGGCUUUUAAAUACUCUCAAAGGCUCUCAGAUUUAAGAAUUGGAUUGGUUACACCAAGGAUGGUGGCUGUUCCUGCAGCCCACAUAAGACACUCUGACAUUUUCAGAAAGUUAUAUAACACACAGAAAUAGUCAAACACUGCUUUUUGACUGACAGGAAACCUUCCAGCAAUGUAUGUACUUUGACUUCAAGGAAAAUAAAACUUCUCCAAGAAUCUAGCUAUUUUCUUCAUAGAUACAAUACUGAUUCAUCCUGGCUUGGAAGCAGUCUAAAGAGAUUUUUGCCUUUAAGUGGGAAGAAGAAAAGAGGACCAAAGAAUAAAGUGUCCCUAGAAACUCUGUCACAAAGAGAAUGAAAAAAAAAGAAAAGCCAGCUGUUCAACAUUGUGUAUUUUCACACAGGAAAGAAAAAAAAUACUAGAAAAGAACACCGGCAUGUCAUUCAUUUUUAUAAGGCCUAUGCCUUAUAAAUAAUUUUCGCUGAUUCUUUGUUUAUCCAUAACAGUUGCUCUCAUAGUUACUUUUUUCACUGUGGAGACAAAAUACUUGGCACAGAAAGUUAAAGAGGAAAAGGGUCAUUUAGCUCAUAGUUUGUAGAGGUUUCAGUCCAUAGUUGGCUGGUUCCAAGUCAGGGUGGCAUUGCAGACAGGAAUCACAGAAGAGAAACAGCUCAUAUGGAGCAGAAGGCAGCAAAGCAAGCAAGCUAGUAACAAAAUGGCAAUAGUAGCUUCUUUCUAUUCCUUUUAUAUUCUAUCUACACUACCCAGCUUAGAGCAGGUGCCAAACGAAUCAGUGGACUAAUACAGUAAUUGCACACCCUUAUUCCCAGCAUCUUUAAUCCUAGCAUUGCAUCAUGAAUCAAUCCCAGCAUCACAUACUCUAGAUCCAGCCACAUCUGAAAAGACUCAACUAUGAGUACAUGAGGCUUUGGAGAACAUCUAGAUACAUGCCAUAACAGUUGGUAACACACCAAAAGAUCUUUUCCUUAGUGGAAGUAGUUUCUUUCAUGUGUGAGGUUGCAAACUUAAAUCCUUUUCUAGUUGCCUCAACAACUUGGCCACGUUGGAAUACAUUUGCAAUGGUAUUUUUAUGCAGAACUAGUUCAUUCAUUGUUUGAAGAGUUAGCUAGAGCUCGAAGCACAUGAAAUAUUGAGGCAUAUUCGUACUUUCUGCAAAGACUCCUAGUUUGUCCAUGGCAAUACUGUAUUGACACUUCCUAGCUGAGCCCCUUUUAUUUUUUGCAAACCACAGGCAAAAUUAUUGAAGUGGUUUGGUGGUUUUUAAGACCCUAAGGUUUUUCUAUAAACAAGAUAAUCUCUGAAAAUUAAAUAGAAUCUCAAUCAAAGCUGACUUAGGCUAAAUGGAUUUUCUGGAAAGGUGCUUAGCAUUACUGGGAGUAAAGCGGGGGGGGGGCAAAGCUAGAGAUAGAGGAAGACUUUCUAGGAGCUGCAUCUCCAAAUAUAAGAGAAGAUUGAGCAGAUUUAAAGGAUAAACUGAUACAAUCAUCUGGGUAUAGUCAGUUUCUACCAAAACUCAUGUUGAAGCUUGGGAGUGUCAGAUGAUAUGAUCUGAGUAUAUGGAAGAUGGGGCAAAGCUUUCAUGAAUUAUUAAUGGAUUUUUCUUAUAAGAAUAAGGUUAUCGAUAGUAGAAAUUUGGCUAAUUUUUUUCCACAUAUGUCCACUUUCCUGCUUUCUGUCAUGAGCCAAUACAAGAUGAGGUCCUCACCAGAACCUGGGAAGAUGCCAGGGCCAUGCUGUUGGAUUUCCCAGCCAUCAGAAUCAUAAGUCCCAAUAAACUUUUCUUUAUAAAUUA